UACGGGGGGGGCAAGCGUUGUUCGGAGUUACUGGGCGUAAAGGGUGUGUAGGCGGUUGUUUAAGUUUGGUGUGAAAUCUCCCGGCUCAACUGGGAGGGUGCGCCGAAUACUGAAUGACUUGGAGUGCGGGAGAGGAGAGUGGAAUUCCUGGUGUAGCGGUGAAAUGCGUAGAUAUCAGGAGGAACACCGGUGGCGAAGGCGGCAUCCUGGACCGGUAUUGACGCUGAUGCGCGAAAGCCAGGGGAGCAAACGGG
rnacentral:rRNA from 1 species